AGCUUGAUUUGUUAGGUCCAUGCGGUGUAGCAAGGGCUGGCCACCACACCAGGGAGUAGCACCUUAGACCAUGCCACUCUGCAGGGCCAUACGGUGCAGAGAGGACCUGCCCAUGCCGGGGAUUGCCACCUUACGGGCCAUGAAAAAACAGCUGCAAGAUGACACAGGGCAAGAUGGUUCCCAAUGCGUGAAAUUUGAACACCAGCCUCCGAGAUGAAUCAGAAAAGUAGGGCCACUAGAAGCACCUGUAUGGAUAGAACACAUGUGUAGUAAUAAAACCAUAUUGCCGAUAUAAAUUGGCUCAGGGUCGUCCUUUGACUGGUUACAACAUAUCCAGGCAAGAGUAGAACGGAUUUAGGCAUGCCAUCUGCAUGUCCAAAAGUGGUCUGCAGAACAAAAUUGCACGCACGUCGGACAUCCGCAAUGGAAUCCUCAUUGCGGAUGUCCAACGAACGUGCAAUUUUGUUCGCUUGGGCGCUCUGUCGGAUGUCCGGGGGAUGUUCAUCGGACAUACACGGAUGUCCCACGGAUGUUCGGUGGAUCUGAAUUGGACCUCUAUCGGAUGUUCCCGGGAUAUCCAA